CACUCGUUGAGUUUGGGGGCUGCAGAUUAACUUCGUUGCAACCAUUGAAAAGGUGAACCAGGACAUAUGGGAGGGUUAUAAACUAUAUAAAAGAAUGAAGCUUGCAAAAGUGUGUUUGUUUCAUGGGUGAGGGAAGGAAGGAGGAGGAGAAGAAUAAAGUGAAAAGUUUUACAAAGAUGAUGGCUGUAUGAGGACUUGCAGACUGGAUAGAAGAGUGCUGCUGCACUUGUGGAGAGUAGGAAUGUGCUGUUCCUCACAGCCUGGCUUAGAAUCUUGGGCUAUGUCCUCACAAUGCCUUGGGGGAAGAAGGGAACUUGCUUCUCAUAACACAGAAGCUUUGGUUGAGCCCAGAGCCAACCAAGGUAAACAAACAGCUCCCAGCUAGCCUUGAGCCUUGGCUGAGCAUCCCUUUGCCCCCCUUCUUGUGGAGAACUGCAGAACAAGCCCAGGCACCAGGAUGUGGAAGGCCACAAGAGUCUGAUGCCACAUCCUGCAGUUGUGCUGAAGAUGAAGAAGAGGAUGCUGACAUGGGAGUCAGAAUUGACAUUGCUGACAUUGAAAGGAGAGAAAUGAAUACUAAAAAAAUAUCAUGAAGCAGAAAUCCUGGGGAAUAUGUGAAGUGUUUCUGCAGGGGAAUAGGGAGGUGCUGGAUGGUGAUACUCAGAAAACCUCUACAAUAAACAAAGCUGUGCAAGUGUUGCUAAAGUUGGAAGCCCUGGCCUGUGACGUGGGUCAGAGGGGUUCCCCAGCAGGCAACAGGACUGCAGACUUUUGAUUUAAUUUGAGAUUUUUACUGUAAAAGAGCCACUAUUUUAACUGCUAAACAGCAGAUUUCUAGUAGUCAAAGCAAGCAAAAUGGCCAGAUUUUUUAAAUAAAACUGAAAAGAUUGGGGUGAUUAACUGAGAAAAGGAAGUGUUUUCUCCCUCUCAUAAAAACACAGAGGUUUGUUCAAAGAAGCUGUAAAACCCAGCAAAAACUAGUAUCAAAAAGCUUGUGGUGCCACAGAUAAAGUCUUCCCUCCUCCUGGCAAGGGCUGUGCUUCCCAAUUCUUUGAUCUUCUGCUUAAUUCACAUGGGGUGUGUGUCAUAAUUCAGAUUUCCACAAAGGAUCAAAGUGAUUUGGUGUAGUCAAAGACAGAGGUUUGGAAAUAACACAGAGCAUGUAAGCAGUGGUUAGUAAGGGAUGGUUUUGAUAGGUGUUUUUCUGUGCUCUGAAACUUUUGAAGUUCAUUGUGUGGGGCCAAUGGGGAGGGAAAAACCCAAUAAGACUAAUCAUUGAAUGAAACAUGAACAGGGGUUUAAAUGUCAAAAACCUGAGAAGGCACCUGGGGCUCUCUGUCCAUAGAGCUGUCGAAGUGGGCUGGUGAGAUAAAAAGAGAGAUCUUGUUAGUGUUUGCAGCCAAAGCUGUUUUCCACAACGCUGAUGAAGAUUUACCGAUUUAUUUUGCCAGUUGAGUUUUGCUGGUUGAAGAUGUAGGAUUGGUGCAGGCUUUUAAGAAACUUGCUCAGAUUUGAGGUGGGCAGUGCAAAGACACCACCUGUGUGGACACCCCUGGGCCUCUAUAGACUCUGCACCUCUGUGUGUGAAUGUCCUGUCCAGAGUGUCUCUAGUCCAUGUUCAGUGCCUGUGUCCACCUCUGCUCAUUGUAGGAGGAGAAACUGAGCUCCUCUGGUGUCAUGCUCAGGGUCUGUGCAGCUCAUCACCAGCCUGGAAGCAGCUCUUCUACUGUUGGAACAAGACAGUUUGAUCCUGGGACAAGGCUGUUUGAACUAGAGAGGUUUUCCUCCUUUUCUGUACAUCUGAGAGAUGAGUAAUACACUGUCUAGUUACCUGCAAGGUUGCAGGCUUCCAUUAUCCUGCCCAAUUUGAUGCUUCUGUCCAGAACACAACCUUGUGAAUGACCUUUUUGCCUCCUGAGGUUUGCUGCUAAGUGUGAUGCUUUGAGAAGAGGUUUGCAUUUAAGACAUUCAAGAACCAGACCCUGUUUCAGUGUUCAGUGCAGAAGCUUUUAGUCUUUCUAAUAUUUUUCCUUGGAAAACUACUGAUUUGUAUUGCAAAUGUGUUUGUAUAAUUCUUUAAAGUCUGGUUAUUUUUCUACACCAAAUGGAAUUCUUAAAGUAUAAAUGCAGUUGCUUCAUCAGGAGAAGUUCAGCCAUAGAAGGUCAUAAAACUUACAAGAGUCAAGAGCAAAUUUUAAUAAGGUCCCAAGGUCCCCAAUUAAUUCUCCUUUUUUUUAUAUAUACUCAUCAAUGUUGGGCCACCAAUUGCAUUGAGUGUCCUUUAAAAAGAAUUAAUACCGCAAUCCCUUGAGUAUUUACAAGGUACAUAAGUUUUGAAGUUAAUCACAGUAAUGGUAAAGAGAUAGAAACUGCUUUUUUCCUGUACUUGUUGUAUAUAACUAUAGGACCAUAUAGAUAAUCAAACAUUUCUAGGCAGAUCUGGAUUGAUUUAGAGAUUACAGCUGAAGCAGAAGUUGAAUUGCAGCUGGAUGUUGUUGAAAUUAUACAAGCUCUCUUCUUGACAUUUUUUUAUAUUCCAGCUUCCUCUUGCUAUUUUCCUCUUCCCUAUAAAAUCUUGUAUUAUCUGCAGGUUUUGAAGACUUCUUUUUCUAAUCUGGGUUGCUUUUUUUUGUUUUGCUCCUUAAAUAGAGAUUUGAGAAAAUGUGAGAGUAUUACUUGACAACCAAAUUAUGUUGGAGUGAAGCAAGUUGACUUUGUUGCGUGAAGCUGCAUCAGCUGGUCUUCUGGCAAAGCACAGUUCAAGAUGAAAGAGUGAAAAAUGCCUUAUAUUUAAACUUCUGGGGAAACACUGGAUAUGGCCUGGUUGUUAUAGUGAAGUUAUCUUUAAACACCAGUGUUUAAUGGAAACACAUUCUUUCUGCCAUCACUUUUAGUUUGGCUCAGGAAUGUAUUUUUACAUGAAACUUGCAUGUCCCCACUUUCCAGUCCUGGUGUGCUCUGUAGGAUGGACUCAGUGCAGGGGCUGAAUUCCUUUCCAGUGAACACAGAUGUGGAGAUGGGCUCCCACUGUUUGUCUGGUUCCCACUGCUCAGAAUGGCCAGAAGGCAUCAAAUGUGGGGUUUGGUCCUCAGCACCCUCUGCUUCACUGCCCAGACCUGCCCUGUCACAUUGCACUGCUUACUAACAAAGACCAAGCUGCAGAUAUUGGUUCCAUUGGAGUCAUGGGCUUUUCUUUACCACUGGUUACAGGCAGAGCCAGUGUUUCAGUGUCUGCUGGAAAUGCCAUCCCAGGUGUAGACAGUGCUCUGCUGAGAGCACUGCAGCAUCCUACAUGCUUUGGGGAGUAGGAAUCUGGCUAUUAAAAGCAGCUGUUCCAAAUGUUUAAAAAGGAAACUUGUACCAAAAAAAAAAAAAAAAAAAAAGGGUGCUGUAAAUAUUUCACAUUUUAAUUACUUGUCUAGUUAACUUGCUCUGUUUCCUGCAGAGUCCAGGUUUUUUAUUUUCUGGAACUUUGAUGUGCCUUGCUUUUAAGAGGGUCUUCUUACUUGUACAUAUGCUGCAACCCAGAAAUACACACCUGAGAAAUUUGUCUAUAGGUGAGCAAGGCUGCAUUUUUGUAUUCUGCAGAUCUAAUCAAAACUCAUUUUAAUAAUGUGAUUUGUCUUAAAUUUUCUACUGUGUCUAAACCUUUAGACUUUUCAGUCUGCUUUCCAGUCAUUAUAGGCAGAUUUCUGUAUGAAUAAUGCAUAGUUUUGCUUUAAAAAUCAGUCUACAAAAUCCACUUUAUUUUCACUUUUUAUUGAUUCCAACCUUGGUGUCUUGCAUACAUCAGAAAUUUAACAACUUAAAAUGUGUCUAUCCGUACAAACGACUCAUUGAUCAAAAAAGGUUAAUUUGACCGACUCCCUUGAAUUUUUCAUUGUCUCUCUUUUUAGUUUCUAUCUAAGUAGGAAAAACAAUUUCCAUUUAGAAACUUCAGUUUUCAGAAGGGUAGGGUUUUGUUUUCUUUGCUGAAUGUAUGGGCAUACAGUGUAUUCAUUUAAAUACAAAUUCAUAGAAACAAUUCACAAAUACAAUUCACAGAAAAUGUGAACCCAUAAAGUACUGACUUUAUUACUGUAAGAAUGCUCAAGUUAUGCUUCCAUUCCAAAGAGAUUAAUCUGUUGCUGACUGCUAACAUUUAAUUCAUUAUAAGGUUAAGUACAAGAGAAUUUGAUAAUUUUUGAAAUGGUAAAGGAAACAUUUUUGACCACUAUUAAUGAGAUUGCCAUAAUUUGCCUGUUUUCUCUUUUCCCCUCCUCUUCGUUUGAUCUAAUUUGUUUUUCCUCUUGAAUUUCCUCAGCACUUUUCUUCCCAGAUGCUCUGCCAUCCCACUUUUUAAUUGCCUUUUUACUUUCUGAGGUGGAUGUAGGGGGGACCCAAAUGCUGAUUGGGAGAUAACAGUGGGAACCCCUGUGGUUCAUCUUGGUGGGCUGGGAUCUGGCAGCCUGGGAAUUCCCACCUGAAGUCCUGGUGAACUGUCAUUGUGGAGACAGGGCUGCUGCUGGGUCUUUGCUGACCUACUGGGAUCGUUUGUGGUGGCUAAGGUUUAGUCUGGAACCAGUGCCCUGUGCUUGCAUGAUUGAAUACAUUUAAAAUAGAAAACACUUCUGAGCUUACACAGAUCUCUGUUUCACAUUGGCAGCAGCCACUUCAGACCAGGUUUUCCCACUCUCCUCGAAGGUGACUGACAAAAUCUGCUGGGGAGAUGGAAGGUUUGGGUUCAUGUUUCCCUUCGGAGUCCUCAGUAGGAGGUGAAGGAGAAUUUCUACUCUUAUUUUAGGAAAGGUGAUUUCUAUGAAAUUUCUGCCUUUCAGCAGGGAGUUUGAAGAAUCUUACAUGGAACAUAGAAUUUAACAGAGGAUGUGGCAAAACCUGCCAGUGCAGAAGCAGCCCCUGCACAGGGAAGAGGGACCUGGCAGGCUCCAUCUGGGAGCAGUGGGACCAGUUGGGCUCCCCUGGAGCAGUGCAGAUGCUGCUGUAAGUAGAAGAAAAUGUCCCUUUGCUGCUGCUGCUACCUUUCACUUGCAUUGGAAUAGAAACUUUUUUGAUCAUGAUGCCUGGAGAGGCAUCAAUCACAUCUGAAUUACUUGCUGCCUCAGAGGUUUUAUUGUGCAACACCUGUUUUUCUCUAAACCCAGGCACUGUGUGAUCUGACCAAAGCCUGGAGGGAAGCACAUACUGCCAUGCCACUUUUAUGUGCUGCCAAACCCCUUACAGUGAAGUGCCUUUAAAGCAAGACUGUCAGUGUGGUUGGCUGAGUGACAGAAGAUCGGUGCUGACCACUUGUUAGAUGCUUGGCUAGCUGUGAAAUGCCAAGGGGUUGUUAUCCUCACCUGUAAGUUCCUUAACUCAAACGUGCCAUAAGGACCCUGGCUCUCCUGAGGUGGCUUUAAAAAAACACAGAUUCUUUCAUUAACAUCAGGAGGCCAAGCAACAUCAAGGAGAGCUCAGGCAGUGUUAGAGAAGCACAAUGGGGUGGGGGAUGAUGCUGUGGUACACAAGUGCUGAAGGAAAGAUAAACUUUCCUAUCUCAGUCCAUCUGGGGCUAGACCAUUGUGAUGGAUUGCUAACAUGUUUGCAAGCAACAGCCGUGUGACAAAAACCUCUUUUCUGUGUGACAGGUUUUGUUUUCCCUAUAGAAGUGCUGGCUGCUUGGACACUGCUUUCAUGUGGCUCUGGCUGAGAUGUCCCCAUGGCUGUGUUGAUCCCUGUUUUGUGGGUGAGGGGACAGGAACCUUCUUGCCAGUGGCCACAGAGCCCUCCCAGAACACAGAGACGUGGCACUUCCCUUGCUGUUGUCUCGUCUCUCGUUGUGCUUGAUGCUUGCAGGGGCUGGCACUUAAAUAUGCUCAUGCAGCCCGGGGCACUUUUGCCACUGAUGAAGUGGGUGAUUUAAAUAAAAAUGGAAAUUGUUCCUGUGUUUCCUUAGUGGGUCAGUGGGUUCUUUGGACAGCAGUGCCUGAGCUGGCCCAACAGCUGGCUCUGUGCUGAAGCAGAGGAGCUGCUGGAAACGACCCAUCCCAGUAGGUGAUGCCUGCUUUGAAAUGCUCUCAGCCCUCCCAGGUGCUGGGGCCCUGAUCUCCUGCCCGUGUCUGUGGUGAGCUGCCUGCCUGGCACACAGCCUGCUAACAUGUCCUAGCAGUGCAGGCUUGCCCUGCUUCACAAUUUUAUACCCUUCCUAUGAAACAGAAACAGCAAUGUGGAUGUAUUUAUUCAAAGCAUCAAGGGAUGAGGCCUUUAGCAGCCUGACUGGUUGUGUGACAUUUACCUUCUCAUGUCUGUCAGGAUUUUCAUUGCUGAAAUGAGGCUGAUGAACUGCUCCUCUCAAGACUGCUUCUUCAGCCAGGGCUGAAGCAUUGGGAUGCUGGAUAAUAAUCUACUGACUUCAUCUUAUGUAGUGAGACAGGGUCCUACAUAUUUGGGACGCUCCUGUGGCUUGUCAUCAUUCUUCAUCUCGUAUCUUUUGGUUUUGUAAGAUUGACAAAGGAAUCACUUAAACAUCCAAUUUCAUGUACUCAUUCUUAGGACAGCAUUUGAAUGAAAACUUGAUGUUUAUAUUGAGUCCAAAGUAAGGAUUUUUUUCUUUCCCUGAACUGGGCUCUAAGAGCUGGAUGUAACUGCAGAUUUCAAAAGGUAAAGACGUCCCAUCUCAGUAUUGGGAGUAUUUAUUUAUUCAUUCAUUCAUUCAUUCAUUCUGGCAAGGUCAAAAAGAUGAAAACACAGGGCUGGAUUAAAACCUUUGUGUUAUAAGUGAGAAGAUAUACAUUACUUAAGUGGACUCAGUCUAUAGGGAAUGCUGGAUUUGAGGCUUUCUAAUGGGCCCUCCUGCCUGUCCCCAGGAGAGGCAGACCUGGGUUCACUGGGUGCCAGAAAAGAGAUGCAGCUGGAACACUCAGGGGGUUUGUCCCAGCUGAAGGUACUGCUGCUGUGAAGCACAGGAAGUUUGGUGAGGCAUGGGAAAGUCUGGGGCUUGAAAAUGCUCUGUGGUGAAAUUUUGUGAAGGAUGCUGCCUUGCUUUCUGUUCAAUUUGUGUGCAUAGGUGAUGAGCAUGACUGUAAAAAUAGGAGCCAGGAUAGAAUGACUAGGAGGAUUUAUUUAUUUUUACUAACAUAGGGGAGUUUUCUUUGCUGGUUUUGUUUAGCUUGUUCUGGUUUCAAUAUGAAUCUGCAUCAUCUCAGUACUUUAGAAAUUGGUGCCUUGGAGAUGUGAUCAGCAACUGCUUGGUGUUUCAUUCUCUUUCUGCUCUUCUAGACACUACAUGAAUGUGUGCCAUCAUACUUAUUUCCUGACAUUAUAGUAAGAUUUCUUAUGGUUUCUUCCUGCAUAUUGCUCCUAGCAUUGGACAAGAUCCUAAAUUGGAAAAGAUAUUAAAAAAUGAACGUAGCAAACAAAGCAAAUAAAAAUAAGGAAUAAAGUGUAGCACGUAGAUUUCAUAUAAUUUUUGUACAAACUUAAUUCUUUUCCUUAAGCACAGGCAAGGUUUUUCCAGAGAAAGUAAACACUGCUAGCAUUUUAUUAGCACCUUGGUUACCCUGGCCUUUUCAAUCUAACAGCAGAGUGUAGCUUGGGGGAGGGUGUUAGAGCUUAUCUUCUACUCUUUUGGCACCUUGUUCAAAUUAAUGACAAAGCCCCACAUAAUGUGCAAGUGAACAUGAGGUUUUGCUGGUGCUUGAAAACCCUAUACUAAAACUCCAAAAUGAAAAUUCUUUUUUCUUGAGCCCCAUGACCUAACCCCCUCCUUGAACAAUGGGGGGAAGGUGGGAGAAGAAAAAGGGAAGGGGGGAAAGAAAAAGUAAUUUUAAUUUUUUUUUUUGAGAUUGUGACUCAGUAUUCUUUAGCUCUCUGGAAUGCCACAAGUUUUUUUAAGCAUCCAUUAUUUGUCACUUGGCAGAAAGAGGCUGAUAGCUUGAGAUUUGAAUUGUCAUUUUAUACAUAACACACUGACAGAUCCAUGCAAAAACAAACCUACCAAAAUUACAUUUAAAAAUAUAUAAAGACACCAAAUAAACUUAACAGAAAGCUUGUCAACACUAUUCUUAAUUUCAUGAUAAAAGACAGGACAGAGCAGGACAGAAGGAGCUGCUGGGAUUGUGCCUUUUACAUUUGCACUGAUUUUUUUGAGCCUGGUCCUGUUGCUUUCCAGUUGCUGUCUCCUAAAAGGAAAUGGGCUUUUCUAAACAUCAGGUAGAGGGAGGGGAUUUUGUAUAUUGGCUCUUUGGAGGCAGAACUAGCAGGAUUCUUUGGAGAAUCCAACUAGCAGAAAACUGCUUGAAAUCGGGAUCGAUCUCCCUCAUUGAGCAAGGUGUUGUGUCAGUAAUUUGCUGUCAAUAUGUUUCUGAACUUGAACAUGAAUUUGCUUUUGGACAUGCCAGCACUUUUUCUAGUCUGUGUCCACACACAGUUGGAGGAUUGGCUUUUAAUUGUGUGAAUGUCAGACUGGAUGUUUGGACUCUUAAGAAGAUGCUUUCAAAAUGAUCUUUUUCUAACAAGGGCCAGCCAAGGUAUUUUAGCACAGAAGGAAGAAAGGUUUCCUCAACACUUCUUUGUCAAAGCAGAUAUUGCAAUCUGGGGCAGGAUAGGGAAGGGUCUCUCUCACCCAAUUCUUUGCCCAAUGUUUGUAUGAAUGUGUCAAAAUAUUAUUUUGCGUAGCCAACCUGUGAAUUUUAUUUUUGACCACUAUGGUAAGGAGCUUUACUUUGUUCUGUAGCUCUCCAUGAAGUAUCAGAGGCCUUUUUCAUGCUGAUACUUAGGUGUGCAGUUUUUUGCUCUGUAAUUCUCCAAAGUUUUCUUACUUGCUCUGGAUGGCUUUUGCAAUGGUCUGAUUGAUUGCCUGAGAGUUAAACACUCCCAUGAAAGUACUCAAUCCACUAAAUCUCAAACUGAAGCUGUGCUUCAGUGACAGUUAAUUGGGAGUUAUUUAUGGUUUUCUGCAGGCAAUAGGUACUAUCACUAUUUUCCUUGGAGUAGCAUUUAAAAGAUUCAGAGAUUGGGUCCCUCCUACACUAAACAACAUUUAAACAUAUUGAAAAAGGGUUUCUGUUCCAGAAACUUUAGAGGUAAGUUAUGUCUUUACCA